rnacentral:rRNA from 1 species
CCUACGGGGGGCAGCAGUGGGGAAUAUUGGACAAUGGGGGGAACCCUGAUCCAGCCAUGCCGCGUGUGUGAAGAAGGCCCUCGGGUUGUAAAGCACUUUCAGUGAGGAAGAACGCCUGGUGGUUAAUACCCAUCAGGAAAGACAUCACUCACAGAAGAAGCACCGGCUAACUCCGUGCCAGCAGCCGCGGUAAUACGGAGGGUGCGAGCGUUAAUCGGAAUUACUGGGCGUAAAGCGCGCGUAGGUGGCUUGAUAAGCCGGUUGUGAAAGCCCCGGGCUCAACCUGGGAACGGCAUCCGGAACUGUCAAGCUAGAGUGCAGGAGAGGAAGGUAGAAUUCCCGGUGUAGCGGUGAAAUGCGUAGAGAUCGGGAGGAAUACCAGUGGCGAAGGCGGCCUUCUGGACUGACACUGACACUGAGGUGCGAAAGCGUGGGUAGCAAACCGGAUUAGAUACCCUUGUAGUC